GGUAAUUCGCUUGUUCCUUCAAACUCAAAUGGAAUAUCUAUAAACAACACAGGUUUCAACAGUACGACGCAGUGACGUUUUUCACCUCGUUCGAAAGUUUCACGCGUUCACGCAACAGCGAAAACUGCGCCGAGAGAGAGAGAGAGAGAGAGAGAGGGAAAGAGAGACGGAGUAAGCGAGUGUAUACUCGGAGCUGACUCGUGGGUUAUUCACGUUGAGGAUGCCCCAUGAAAAAUCGCUGUCACUCUCCUCUCGACGACGAUCCGACGGGUUUUUAUGGCUCUCAGAAAUGAUUAAUUCGGUGAAACUCCAACCGAAAUUGCCUGAAUAAAGCACAACUUCAAAGUUUUCGAAUUCAAACUCGAUCUGCCCAUUUUCCGAGUUGGAAUUCCCCGUAAACUAUGGAUGACGAUCUCUCGCGCAACUCUCGUACGGAACGAGCCGCCAUCAUAGGGGCAAUAUACUUCUUGCAGCAAGACUCCUGUUACUCCAGCCUAUCAAAGGAUUACUCUCAGCUCUCGCAGAGAGCAUCGGAAUUUUUAAAAUAACCCAGUUGGUUUGUAUUUCUCGUUAACUAACUAUUCGAGGUAUUCCAUCGUGUGUCUUGCGGGCUUCUUAUGACCAUUUCGACCGCUCUAUUCAGCUUUUUCUUAUUAUACGAUCUCGAUGACUCUUGAAUCGAGCUUCGGUAAAAAGCUUGUGCACAGGAAGAUACGGAAAAUCUGUUUCACGAUAAGAGCGUUUUCAUGCAGCUUUUCGGAGAAGCAUCGCGUAAAAAUAAUAAUAAUAUUAUUAGUAUAAUUAGUAUAUUAAUAGUAAUAAUGAAAAAUAUAUCGAAAAAUUUCGUUCAAGUGAAUGUCGCGUUCAUCAAAAUGUUAAUGAAUUAACGAAUGAUGUUUCGGGGAGUUUUGAAUUAUUUAAACGUUCGCUUCUCGCCCAAACCUCGUAUUUUCGAAAGCUCAACUACGCUCGAUGAAAAAUUCGUGAUACUGGCUCGACUAUGAAUAUACGAAAGGUGUUACAGAAAUGUUAAUAGAUAAUGGAGACUGCGACUAACUGAAUUGAGAAUCGAUUUCAAAUUGGGAAAUCAGACACUUGCUGAGACUGGAUUAAAUACGACGAUGAAACCCAGUGAUCAUCCUCCUACUUCCACCUCGCAAAUUGCGAUAAAUGCUCAACGUUCAAAUUCAAUUGUAUCAACUUAUUUUCAUUCUUCAAAGAUUAUCAAGUAGAAUUGUCAUUCCUACAGAGGUGUGAUUAAUAUUACAAUUUUCUGUGAAAAUAACAUUGUCUCGAAAGUGCCAUUAAUAACGUCACUCGAACGCUGGUAACAAGCAAUCUUUCAAAGUUUCUACAAUCCAUCAUUUUUCCUUCCUUUCGUAAUAAAACUGGAACAGGAUUGCCA